rnacentral:rRNA from 1 species
UACGUAGGGUGCGAGCGUUGCCCGGAUUUAUUGGGCGUAAAGGGCGCGUAGGCGGCCACGCACGUCCGUUGUGAAAUCGCUCGGCUCAACUGGGCGGGGUCAGCGGAUACGGCGUGGCUGGAGCAAGCUAGGGGGCAAUGGAAUUCCCGGUGUAGUGGUGGAAUGCGUAGAUAUUGCUCGGAAGGCCGGAGCCGAAGGGGCCCCACUGGUACGUAACUGACGCUGAGGCACGAAAGCGUGGGGAGCAAACAGG